UUCCGGUUGAUCCUGCCGGACCCGACUGCUAUCAGAGUAGGACUAAGCCAUGCGAGUCGACGUAGCAAUGCGUGGCGAACGGCUCAGUAACACGUAGUCAACAUGCCCAAGGGACGUGGAUAACCUCGGGAAACUGAGAAUAAACCACGAUAGGUCAUGAUUUCUGGAAUGGAUCAUGGCUCAAAUCUACAUGGCCCCUGGAUUGGACUGCGGCCGAUCAGGCAGUUGGUGAGGUAAAGGCCCACCAAACCUAUAACCGGUACGGGCUCUGAGAGGAGAAGCCCGGAGAUGGGCACUGAGACAAGGGCCCAGGCCCUAUGGGGCGCAGCAGGCGCGAAACCUCUGCAAUAGGCGAAAGCCUGACAGGGUUACUCUGAGUGAUUUCCGCUAAGGGGAUCUUUUGGCACCUCUAAAAACGGUGCAGUAUAAGGGGUGGGCAAGUCUGGUGUCAGCCGCCGCGGUAAUACCAGCACCCCGAGUGGUCGGGACGAUUAUUGGGCCUAAAGCAUCCGUAGCCGGUUCUGCAAGUCUUCCGUUAAAUCCAGCCGCUCAACGGAUGGGCCGCGGAGGAUACUACAGGACUAGGAGGCGGGAGAGGCAAGCGGUACUCGAUGGGUAGGGGUAAAAUCCGUUGAUCCAUUGAAGACCACCAGUGGCGAAGGCGGCUUGCCAGAACGCGCUCGACGGUGAGGGAUGAAAGCUGGGGGAGCAAACCGGAUUAGAUACCCGGGUAGUCCCAG
rnacentral:rRNA from 1 species